CCUACGGGAGGCAGCAGUGGGGAAUAUUGGACAAUGGGCGAAAGCCUGAUCCAGCCAUGCCGCGUGUGUGAAGAAGGCCUUCGGGUUGUAAAGCACUUUCAGUGGGGAAGAAAGCCUUGGGGCUAAUACCCUCGAGGAAGGACAUCACCCACAGAAGAAGCACCGGCUAACUCCGUGCCAGCAGCCGCGGUAAUACGGAGGGUGCGAGCGUUAAUCGGAAUUACUGGGCGUAAAGCGCGCGUAGGCGGUCUGAUAAGCCGGUUGUGAAAGCCCCGGGCUCAACCUGGGAACGGCAUCCGGAACUGUCCGGCUAGAGUGAAGGAGAGGAAGGUAGAAUUCCCGGUGUAGCGGUGAAAUGCGUAGAGAUCGGGAGGAAUACCAGUGGCGAAGGCGGCCUUCUGGACUGACACUGACGCUGAGGUGCGAAAGCGUGGGUAGCAAACAGGAUUAGAUACCCCAGUAGUC
rnacentral:rRNA from 1 species